GAUGAACGCUGGCGGCGUGCCUAACACAUGCCAGUCGAGCGAACGGACGUGAUGUUUGUUUCUCUGAUGUUAUAGGCGGAUGGGUGAGUAACACGUGGCUAACCUACCUAUUAGACUGGGCUAACUUAGGGAAACCGGAGCUUAUACCGGAUUAUAUUUUGAACUGCAUGGUUCAACAGUGAAUGACGGUCUUGCUGUCACUUAUAGAUGGUUCCGCGCUGCAGUAGCUAGUUGGUAAGGUAACGGUUUACCACGGCAACGAUGCAUAGCCGACCUGGGAGGGUGAUCGUCCACACUGGAACUGAGACACGGUCCAGACUCCUACGGGAGGCAGCAGUAGGGAAUCUGCCGCAAUGGGCGAAAGCCUGACGGAGCAACGCCGCGGGAGUGAUGAGGGUCUUCGGAUCGUAGAACUCUGUUAUUAGGGAAGAACAUAUGGGUAAGUAGCUGGGAGCGUCGUGACGGUACCGAAACAGAAAGCCACGGCUAACUACGUG
rnacentral:rRNA from 1 species